rnacentral:rRNA from 1 species
GACGAACGCUGGCGGCGUGCCUAAUACAUGCAAGUCGAGCGGACGGAUGGGAGCUUGCUCCCAGACCGUCAGCGGCGGACGGGUGAGUAACACGUGGGCAACCUGCCUGUAAGACUGGGAUAACUCCGGGAAACCGGGGCUAAUACCGGAUAACUCUUUCCCUCACAUGAGGGAAAGCUGAAAGAUGGCAUCUCGCUAUCACUUACAGAUGGGCCCGCGGCGCAUUAGCUAGUUGGUGAGGUAACGGCUCACCAAGGCGACGAUGCGUAGCCGACCUGAGGGGGUGAACGGCCAAACUGGGACUGGGACACGGCCCAGACUCCUACGGGAGGCAGCAGUAGGGAAUCUUCCGCAAUGGACGAAGGUCUGACGGAGCAACGCCGCGUGAGUGAUGAAGGUUUUCGGAUCGUAAAACUCUGUUGUCAGGGAAGAACAAGUACCGGAGUAACUGCCGGUACCUUGACGGUACCUGACCAGAAAGCCACGGCUAACUACGUG